GGGACUCGAACUCAUAUGCAGAGUGGAGAGCCUUAUCAAGAAGAGGGCGUCAAGGACAUCAAGAAGGAAAUUGAGUUGGAGACCAAGGAAAAGCGAAACGGAAGAGAAUAACAACACAAAGAGCAAGAAUAAGACAGGCGUAGAGGUAGGGAUAGAUAUAGGGAAGGAGAUAGAGAUAGAGAUAGACACAGAGGAGGUAUAGAUAGAGAUGGGAGGGAGAGGCGAAGGGAAAGGUAUGAUAGAGAUGAGAGGCGUAGAGAUACACAUUAUAAUGAUGAUGGUGAUGACAGGGGAAGGCAUACAGAUCGAUACAAUAAGCAUAAGAGAGAUGGGUAUGAAGACGAUGGAGAUGUUAAGGAAGAUGGUGAUGAUAGGAGAGGUAAUAGGGAUCGGCAGAAUGGCCAGAGCCGUUCGGAUGAGCCCAAAUUGUAUCAGGUUUAUAAGGGCAGGGUUUCCAGAGUGAUGGACACCGGUUGCUUCGUUCAGUUGAAUGAUUUAAGAGGGAAUGAGAGUCUGGUUCACGUUUCAUAGAUGGCAACUCGGCGAAUUAGUAAUGCUAAGGAUGUGGUGAAGAGGGAUCAGGAAGUUUAUGUGAAGGUGAUUUCAAUUUCAGGUCAGAAGUUGAGCCUUUCGAUGAGGGAUGUUGAUCAAUAUACAGGGAAGGAUUUGCUCCCCUUGAAGAAGAGCUCAGAGGAUGAUGCUCUUAGGACGAACCCAUCUUUUUCAAAGGAUGGACCUGUGACUAGGACUGGUCUUUCCGGGAUUAGGAUUGUGGAAGAGGAUGAGGUUGGCCCAUCACGCUGGCCAUUGAAGAGAAUGAGUUCGCCAGAGAAGUGGGAAGCCAAACAGUUGAUUGCCUCAGGUGUUUUGGGUGUUACAGAGUAUCCUAUGUAUGAUGAGGAAACCGAUGGGAUGCUUUAUCAAGAAGAGGGAGCUGAGGAAGAGCUUGAGAUUGAGCUCAAUGAGGACGAGCCAGCCUUUUUAAAUGGACAGAGCAGGUAUUCUGUUGAUAUGUCACCUGUGAAAAUCUUUAAGAAUCCAGAAGGGUCACUGGGUCGUGCAGCUGCACUUCAGUCCGCACUCAUUAAGGAGCGUAGAGAAGUGCGUGAGCAGCAGCAAAGAACCAUGUUGGAUUCUAUCCCAAAGGAUCUCAAUCGUCCCUGGGAAGAUCCAAUGCCAGAGACUGGUGAGAGGCAUCUUGCACAAGAACUUAGAGGUGUUGGUUUAUCGGCAUAUGAUAUGCCUGAGUGGAAGAAGGAUGCUUUUGGGAAAACCAUCAGUUUUGGGCAGAGGUCAAAACUCUCAAUCCAGGAACAGAGGCAGAGCUUGCCUAUCUACAAGCUGAAGAAAGAAUUGAUUGCAGCGGUGCAUGAGAACCAAGUGCUUGUCGUCAUUGGUGAGACUGGUUCGGGUAAGACAACACAGGUAACACAGUAUCUUGCAGCAGUGGGUUACACGACAAUGGGUAAGAUUGAUUGUACACAGCCACGUAGGGUGGCUGCCAUGUCUGUGGCCAAGAGGGUUGCUGAAGAGUUUGGUUGUCGUUUAGGAGAGGAAGUCGGCUAUGCAAUUCGUUUUGAGGAUUGCACUGGUCCAGACACUGUCAUCAAGUACAUGACUGAUGGUAUGCUUCUUAGGGAGAUUUUGAUUGAUGAGAACCUUUCUCAGUAUUCUGUGGUCAUGCUUGAUGAAGCUCAUGAGAGGACAAUCCACACAGAUGUUCUUUUUGGACUACUGAAGAAGCUUGUGAAGCGGAGACCAGACCUUCGUUUGAUUGUCACAUCUGCUACCUUGGAUGCGGAGAAGUUUUCCGGUUAUUUCUUUAACUGUAACAUCUUCACUAUCCCUGGGAGAACUUUUCCUGUAGAGAUACUCUACACUAAACAGCCGGAAAGUGACUACCUUGAUGCAUCUCUAAUAACUGUUCUACAAAUACACUUGACAGAACCUGAAGGUGACAUUCUUCUUUUCUUGACUGGACAAGAAGAGAUUGAUUUUGCAUGCCAGUCUCUCUAUGAGAGGAUGAAAGGUCUUGGUAAAAAUGUCCCUGAGUUGAUUAUCCUACCAGUGUAUAGUGCCCUUCCUAGUGAAAUGCAGUCAAGGAUAUUUGAUCCUGCCCCACCAGGUAAGAGGAAAGUAGUUGUGGCUACUAAUAUUGCUGAGGCAUCACUGACCAUUGAUGGGAUAUUUUAUGUCAUUGAUCCUGGUUUUGCAAAGCAAAAUGUUUAUAACCCAAAGCAGGGGCUAGAUUCACUGGUCAUAACUCCAAUUUCCCAAGCAUCAGCUAAGCAACGAGCUGGGCGUGCUGGGCGUACAGGCCCUGGGAAAUGUUACCGCCUCUACACUGAGAGUGCAUACCGCAAUGAGAUGUCCCCUACUUCAAUUCCAGAAAUCCAGAGGAUAAAUCUUGGGACUACUACACUUACGAUGAAAGCUAUGGGGAUAAAUGAUCUCUUGUCUUUUGAUUUUAUGGAUCCUCCUUCACCCCAAGCACUCAUUUCUGCCAUGGAACAAUUGUACAGUUUAGGAGCACUGGAUGAGGAGGGGCUGCUCACCAAAUUGGGUAGGAAAAUGGCUGAGUUUCCUCUGGAUCCACCCUUGUCUAAGAUGCUAUUGGCCAGUGUGGACCUUGGAUGCAGUGAUGAGAUCUUGACCAUCAUUGCAAUGAUUCAGACUGGCAAUAUUUUUUACAGACCUAGGGAAAAACAAGCCCAGGCAGAUCAGAAGAGAGCCAAGUUUUUCCAGCCAGAGGGAGAUCAUCUGACUUUACUUGCAGUCUAUGAGGCAUGGAAAGCUAAGAAUUUUUCAGGGCCAUGGUGUUUUGAGAACUUUGUUCAGUCUCGAUCCUUGAGGAGGGCACAGGAUGUCAGAAAACAGCUUCUCAGCAUCAUGGACAAGUAUAAAGUGGAUGUUGUCAGUGCUGGAAAGAAUUUUCCAAAGAUCAGGAAGGCAAUUACGGCAGGGUUUUUCUUCCACGUGCUAGAAAGGACCCGCAGGAGGGUUAUAGAACCCCAGUGAAGAACCAACCAGUUUAUAUACACCCAAGCAGCGCCCUCUUCCAGAGACAACCAGAUUGGGGGAUCUACCAUGAACUGGUUAUGACUACAAAGGAGUACAUGCGCGAGGUGACGGUCGUCGACCCCAAAUGGCUCGUGGAACUGGCACCCAGGUUCUUCAAGGUGGCAGAUCCCACCAAGAUGAGCAAGCGCAAGCGUCAAGAACGUAUUGAACCGCUAUAUGAUAGAUACCAUGAACCUAACUCUUGGCGUCUUAGUAAGCGAUGUGCUUGAUAUGUGUGUCAUCUGGUGCUAUCAGCAUGAACUCGUCUUGGUCUUGUAUUGGUUUUUCUGUCUUAAUGUAAUAUGAAUAUCUUGUAAUUCCUUAAGCUAAUUUUUUGACAUUGAGAGCGGGAGAUCCUGUAUGGACUAUGGAGAAACUUUUGCCAACAAUUUUAGCUCAAUGGUCGUUAGCUUUUCAAACUUUUGUCAAAGUCGUAAGACUCAAGUUGAUUUUGGA